rnacentral:tRNA from 1 species
GCCCUUGUAGCUCAGCUGGUAGAGCGUUGCCUUGGUAAGGCAAAGGUCGGGGGAUCAUACCCCCCCAAGGGCU